UACGUAGGUGGCAAGCGUUGUCCGGAUUUACUGGGCGUAAAGAGCGCGCAGGCGGUCGGAUCAGUCGAAUGUGAAAGCCCCCGGCUCAACUGGGGAGGGUCAUUCGAUACUGUCCGACUCGAAGGCAGGAGAGGGAAGCGGAAUUCCCGGUGUAGUGGUGAAAUGCGUAGAUAUCUGGAGGAACACCGGAGGCGAAGGCGGAUCACUGGACUGCCACUGACGCUGAGGCGCGAAAGCUAGGGGAGCAAACAGG
rnacentral:rRNA from 1 species